AUGAACAGAUGCGUAAAAGGAAAGAUGAAAAGAAGAAAAAAAAGAGUAAAAGGUAAACCGCCAGAGGGGUCCGUACCAGAGGGAGUCGGCCACGGCUUGUCUCAAGUAUGCUAUUUAUGCUAUUUAAUCUUUGUCCUAAGAACUCUGCAGAUAACUUCUUUUGAUAAGUCUCUGAUUCCUUCCAUCUUCUUCAAUAGUGUUUGUUUAUGGUGUUGA